AUAUGAGGAACAUUGUAAUCACAGGGAAUAGAGCUGUUGAGGUGGGAGACGCUCUGAAUUUAACCUGCAGUGUUGAAAGCUUUCCUCCAUCUCAUAUCACAUGGACCAACACACACCUGUACAACGGACCCGCUACUAACCUGCAGAGCAACACUGGAUCAGCCACACUUGUCAUCCCGAAUGUGAAGACAGAAUAUUCUGCACGGUACAUCUGUACAGCACAACACCUGAACACGACUGUGACGACAUACGCUGAAGUAACAGUGAUUUGUAAGUAGAUUGUACUAAUCUUGAAAAUGAAGUUUAUGUUCACGUUUCAGAAUUUUCUUGUGAUUCUGCUUUUAUUGUGUUUUACAGUGUUUUCAAAGAUCUUAAAAAACUCUGGCUGUGUGGUUCAGUCGGAGGUCCUGAAUUGUGUGUGUAUCACUGAAGGCUUUCCUUUACCCACCAUCACAUGGCCGCUGUUGAAGAAACACACAGAGUACUCUGUCAUUACAUCUGUGUCAAACCACACAGUCAACAGCACCGUCAUCCUACCUGCAAAAGACCUCAGCAACACUUCUGUUGAGUGUGUCAGCAGCAAUGGACAUGGGGAAGCAAAACAAACCUUCACCAUCCUAAGAUCCAACACGUCGGAACAAGCGGGUAAAUCCAAUGAAAUAUUAAACAUUGUUUCACGGCUGGAAGUCAUCAUUGCCUUUUUGAUUGGGAUACUUCUUUCAGCAGUCCUUUGCUGUUUGACCACACAAUGCCUCAGAAAAAAUAAGAAGAACUCUGUAAAACUGGAUGAGACUCUGGAGAUGGUGACCAGCGAAGAGGAUCCACUGGUGUUGUGUGUGAGUGACGAGGCAGCGCUGAUCAAAUAAGAAUUAUUACCAUUACCUGUUUCUCGCCUCAAAGGUUUUCUUAAACAUAUUUUAAUGUAUUUAGCUGUAAAAUGAGUCAGUCGAGCCAAAAGCAAGCACCGCCCACCUGCCGGAGCAAACCUUCCCAUUUGUUAUUGGUCAGCUCACAGCCAAGCAGCUGAUAGGAGCCACUGAGGAUGAAGCAGCUGUUGCCGGAAAGCUCAAGCAAGCACAACUUCUGUGCUCUGACUGAACGUACCGGGAGAGAGAGGUGUCGGGACCCUUUGUGUAGCUUUGCAGUGCAAUACAGACUGGUCUGAUUAACAUUAAUUUUACUAUGAUAAAAGCAAAUACUACAAUCAUGAGAAGUCAUCUGUUCGAGGCAAAGACACAAAAACUACUUCUGCAAAAUUGCAUUGUUCAUAUUUGCCUGUUUAGGCACAAUGUUCGCAGCCUCCGCUGUCACUGCAGGGACAAUAAUCUUUCAUCUGCAUCGUGUGUUGACAUGAACAGUGUUUCUGUUCAUCUUUAUUCUCUAUGCCUUUAUAAAAAAAAAAAUGAAAUUAAUGAAUGGCAAUUUAAUGCUAUUAAAUAUGCCUUAUCAUUAAAAAUAAAAAGACUGGUAAAAAUAGAUUAGAAACGAGAAAGUCUAACUGGUCAGUAAUGUCAAUAUACCAGAUACAAAUGUCACAAUACACAAUUGAUGAAUGUAGCAGCUGCUGAAUGAGUUGUAUCAUUGACAUUGUACCUGACAGAUGGAUGCUGCUCAAGCAGUGGAAGAGGAUCAGACCUACCAAGAGGCAGCUGAAGGAGGAGGAGCUGUGGCAGCAGAGAGAGCAGCCACUGAUCUCGAUGGUGGACCCAAAGAUGUGGAGUACGCUAGCAUCAAUUUCUCCAUGUUGACAAGAAAGAGUCAGAGGGAGGCAGCAAAGAAGCAAGAGACCACAGAGACGGAGUACGCUGAAAUUAAGAAAGAGGUAAAAGAGGAAAGAGAUGACAAUGGAGGAGAGGAAGGUUGUGUGUUGGAGGGCAAAGAGGAGGAGGAGGCGCAACCUUGUGUUCCUAAAGAGGAGGAAGAGGAGGAUGUGGCAGUGUACUCCAAUGUGAAGGACAUAAUGGGUGAGAUUUGAGCACUGUUGCAUAGUGGAGUUGCGCUACGAUGAAUUCUUUGCUCUCAUCAGUUGUGAUGGAUUGAUGUACUGGAUUGACACACCUGUGAAUGAAUGGCGUCCUGUGAGCAGCUGUUUUCUUCAAACGUCACAUUCAGCAAGCGCUAAACUGAAGUGACUGAGACGCAUCACACCUCGACAUGUGGGAGGCUGUGCAAAGCCAUUCAUUCAGCUCAGGGUGGAAUGGAAGAGAAUUUCUUACUCAAAUGUUUUUGUGCUUUAAUGUGUUUACCGUUCAUAAACUUUCCAGAUAAGUUUGACCCACAUCAAUGAAAAGUUGACACCGGUAUUUUGGGACAACCACCUCUGCUCUGAGUGUUCUUUUGUUUGAUACAUUUUAUUUAACCAGGAUAAGCAUGGGUCUUAAGUGUCCCUCUGGUCAGCCCAAAGCUCUUUAGAGGCCCACAUUUCUCUGCCUCAGGUACAAAUGAACCUUCACGUUCACCGUGUAGCAAAGAGGUUUCUCUUUUUCAGCGUGCUCUUGGGAUGGCAAUGCUUUGUUAGACUGCUUUGGACCAGACUGGAAUAUCUCAACUAUGAUGGAUGUUCGUAUACAGACUUAAACCUCAAUGUUUUGAAUUUCUCCAUUCUGUUUUAUAUAUAUAUUAUUAUUAUGAAGAAUUACUGAAUUACAAAUUACAGCUCGGUAUGCCUUUUCUUUUUUUAGCUUUUCAUUUGAUCAGUGUUUUCAAACUUAUAACACAUUUAGCCCGAUUUGUCUCUAAAGGCCUGUUAGUGUUCUUUAGUAAGAAGUCAUACAUUGCUUCCCUUUUUUUUAAUGUGUUACAGGAAUCAUCUUGACUCAAGUACUAAAAGUGAACAGUAUCUGGCACAUGUGUUUGUCUGAAUAAUGAAAUCUUUGAGUGGUCCGUUACCACGAAGCCUUUCUAACUACAGAACCUGUGAACACUGCAGAAUGUACCAGAAGUGAGUGUUCAGUAUGUGUAACUGAUGAGGCCAAAGGUGAAGUCAGUUUAUUAUCUAGCACCUUGAAGUCUCAACAGGAAGUCAUUGGAGAGAAUCAAGUGAUGCUUUAUUAGGCAAUGUUUAAGUGAAGAACCACUUCAGGGACUUUUCUGAGAACAUAAAGGUGUUACAAUAAACCAUAUUGUUAAAAAUAGAAGUUCUUUCUAAGAUGCUUCAUGCAGCUGAAACAGGAACUAAGAUUUAAAUACUUUUUAGUUGCAGGUUUUUAAUUAACUUAAUCUUUGAUGGAAGUUGUACAUAAUUAAACUAAUGUUUAAACUAAUGACUUUUACAAUGGGCCAUCAUUAUUUAACUGCCGAUAUUAACAAGUAAUACAGACCAUUCACAUGCAUGCACAUCACUCUGCACGUAAUGUAUCAUGCCUACAAUGUAGAAGGAUAGUUUGUACAUAGAAUGUUUGGUUUCUUACAGUGACACAAUUUUCUCAAGCAGCCAUAUGGUACUUCCCCUUUCUCAGUUGUUCACCCCUUCACAGUCUUGUACCUGAUC
ensembl:lncRNA